GGCAUCGUAGCUCAAUUGGUUGAGCUUGUGCUGUACAAAUGCUUAUGCGGCGUCCAUGCGUGGGUUCGAAUCUCAUCGAUGCUA
rnacentral:tRNA from 1 species